UUAGGCGGGACGGGGUAGGAGUAACGACGUGGCGAACCUGCCUUACACAGGGGGAUAACACUUAGAAAUAGGUGCUAAAACCGCAUAAGCGCACAGCUUCGCAUGAAGCGGUGUGAAAAACUCCGGUGGUGUAAGAUGGACCCGCGUCUGAUUAGCUUGUUGGCGGGGUAACGGCCCACCAAGGCGACGAUCAGUAGCCGGCCUGAGAGGGCGGACGGCCACAUUGGGACUGAGACACGGCCCAGACUCCUACGGAAGGCAGCAG
rnacentral:rRNA from 1 species